UCAGUUCAUAUGGGAUGGGACCUCCUGAACCCUUUUAGACAGGGCCGGCGCCACCUGCUGUGACAACUCUUGAGACGACUAGAAAACCAGAUAGAAAGAGACAGCAUGGAUGAAUAAGUCACAGCUGGCCAUGCUCCUGCAUCAGCUCUACUCCUUUUCUGCCUAGUGAAUCUGGACAAGAAAAUUAAAGCCUUCAGUUGGAAUGAUGUCAGCCCUACUUGGGAGUAGGGAGAAGAAGGCAGCUCCAGUGAGCCCUUGUAGCAGAAGAAUGUCAAGAUAGUGUUCUGCCCAGCACCAGAGUGGAAUAUGUCAGACCACUCGCAGCACUGCUGUUUGAUCUUAUCGGGCUGCUGCGGAGGUGAAGCUUAAAUGCCUGGAGAGAAUUAAACAAGCCUUAUUGACUUCCCACAGAGAAGCCUGUUCAGCUAGGUACCAUGAGGUUGAGAGAUUAACACUGCAGAAUGGAAACAAAGAACAUUGAUGAAGCACUUGGGUGAACUCGGGUAAGACAUUUUCUCCAAUCAAGUUAUCAAAGCCGAAUUCCUGUUAGUCCUUUUGGAACUCUUUUUGCUUAUGAAGCAGAUAUGGAUUGGAGGGCACACUGGUCCCUAUUGUUGUUCUGCAGGCUUGCUUGUGUUAGGUCAGCAUAUUAGUUCCCCUACCUCUGUAAAGACUGAGAACCACAUUUGGAAUCAGGACAGGAAGUACACCCCCUCCUUAAACCCUUUACUUUCUGGAGAAGUCACGGGUGGUGAAGAUGUUUCCUGCCAUUCUUUACAGAAGCAAGAGUCGCUUUAGGGUUGUUUCAUUAUCAGUGGAGUAGUUGUCCCGUGGACCUCUGCCCUUGAAGAGUGAAAGAGCAGUCAAGACAGAGCCCACUAGCCUCACGUCGUCACAGUUGCAAGCAAGCAAACCUGUCAUCUUCCUGUAUUAUCUACAAAUGGUGUUUGUUUCCUUUGACGUAUAUUCUAACACUUGGGGCAGGAGGGAUUUCUCGAAAAAACAAUAUUGUUGAGUAUACCAAUUCCCUGCCCCCAGCCAUCCUUUCUGUUUCCUUUUCAAGGCUCCAGGAAUUGCUAAAUGGCAUAUCCUGGACAACCAACACUCUUCAGCUAAAAAUACCAGAGGGUGAGCUUAUCUCGAGCAAUGCUUCCUCUCCAGGGGGUUCAUAGACAUUAUCUCAUUUAUUCUUAAAAACACCCUGUGAGGUAGGGCAUGGCCAAAGAACUGGAUCCCAGAAAGGUAAGGAAGCUUUAAGACAAAAGGUCACUGGCAGAGGUUCGAUUCUGAAGCCCGGCAGAACAGCUCAGAUGUGUAACUUUCAAGCUGUAAAAUCUACUCACCAGGCAUCAAUAACUUGACUGCAGGAGCCCAGAGACCCCCUUAUUAAAUAGAUAUAGAUAUAGGAGAUAGAGAUAGAUAGAGAUAGAGAUAGAGAUAGAGAUAGAGAUAGAGAUAGAGAUAGAGAUAGAGAUAGAGAUAGAGAUAGAGAUAGAGAUAGAGAUAUAUAACAAGACUCCUGGCAUACAGGAAAAGACAGAGCUUAGCGGAAAUUGGAUCCCCAAAGCUACUUCUUCAGGGUAAUGAUGAUUUCUUUGUUAUCUAUAACAAACUGGAGAAGAACAUUGAUCAUCUUUUCAAAUUGUCCCAUUGCCCUCCUAACCUCAUCUGCUAACAUGGCUUCAUGUCCCACCUACACAAACUGGAACAACUGGCUUAGUUGUCUCAGAGAAACAAGAUAUAUAUAUAUAUAUAUAUAUAUAUAUAUAUAUAUAUAUAUAUAUAUAUAUAUAUAUAUAUAUAUAUAUAUAUAUAUAUAUCCCUUCUAGAAGUCAGACAUGACUUGCUUAUACAUACUUCAAAAACAGAUUCCAUAAUCAACAAAAUACAUUGUUCUGACAUUCUAUAUAUUGUCUUAUAUUCCUUUCCUCAAGACUUGGUCCCAUGCCCAAACCCGAGAGUCAUGGCAGCUUCUAGGUCCUCUUAGGAGCAUACGCAAAUCCUGUUACUGACAUAUCUCCUCUAUGCCCCUCAUGACUAAUUUUUUUCCCACCCAUACUCAUGCCCAAGGAGAAUGAGCUUGGGAGCAUGAACUACCGAGCUCCCUCCUCUCUGCCUGCUAGCUGAUUUAGCAGGAGGUUAAGGGGAGACAAGAGUAUGUUGUUAGUUUUACCUUAUUUCUUCCCUGUAGGGUGACUAUGACUGAGUCCUGCCCACAAGGCCAGCUCCUCCUUCAAACACUGCUCUUUGUCUGGGUUUUUAGUAAGCAUCACUUCCUGAUGGCCACCAGCCUGGAAGUUUUAAAGGAUCCUCCUGCUAAUGUUCCCAAUUCUUUUGUCGUCCCUAUUAUAUGUAUUAAAGCCACAACACAUUCUGUAAAUAGUUCCUUCAUAAACUUGUUACAGCUCCUAGAUAGAAUGGAUUCCAUUGGUCCUAGUUUGUUUUUUUUUUGAUCUUGUAAUAAAACCAUGAUCAAAUGCACCAUAGGGAAGAAAGACAUUUAUUUCAUCUUGCAAGUUACAGCCUGCCAUUGAAGGAAGCUCAAAGCAGGAGCCUGGAAGCACAAACAAAAUCAGAAGCCAUGGAGGAAUGCUGCUUACUGGCUUGUUCUCUUGCUCUUGUUCAUCAAACUUUCUAAUACAGCCCAGACCUACCUGCCAAGGAAUGGUACUUCCUGCAGCGGUCUGAGCUCUCCUGCAUCAAUUAACAAGCAAGAAAAUCUUCCACAGACAUGCACAUAGGCAAUCAGAUGGAGACAAUUCUUCAACUGGGAUUUCCUCUUCCAUAAUGUGGCAGGUUGAUAAGCAAAAUUAGUCCUUUCUCUCUAUUUACUAAGGGUACCCAAGCUACUAUAAUUUCUGUUGCUAUCCUACUUUUCAGAGAGUUCUUCCAUUGCAUUUUACGUGUAUGAUUAUUUGCAUAUAUGUAUUUAUGUGCACCAUGUGGUUGCUUGGGACUUACGGAGGUCUGAAGAAGGCAUCAGAUCUUUGGGAACUAGAAUUGCAUCUGAUUGUAAACCACUGUAUGGGUGUUGGGAACUGAACCUUGGUCCCCUGUAAGAGCAGCAAGUGUUCUUACCACUUAACACAUUCCCCCAGUUAAGAUAACAUUUGUAUUUUAAACCCUCAAUAUAUGUGACCUUGGUUCCUAAGUUACUUCCAAAUAUCUCCCCAUGUUUCCUAGCCAUUGUUUGCAUGUCUAAAGAGAAGUGUAUCAAUCUUGCACAAAUCCCUUUAAGUUUCCAGAAAUAGUCAACAUAUCCUUGAUUGGUAUGCCUGUGUCUGUCAGCCUUUUAGGAUUAAGUCUUUUGUCUCUGCUUCCAGGAUAUCCUUAAUAAAUAUUUACU